rnacentral:lncRNA from 1 species
UAGGAGUGUGAGGUUUGGGGGACUGAGGGCAGGGGGAAUUCAUUAUUAAAUAGCUGUGUCCUGCCAGCCAGGGAGAAUCCCUCAUGUUGUUCCUGCAGUCUUACCGGACACCAUGGAAACUCUCCCACGCCCACUUUGUUGUCUGCUAGGAAAAGGAAGAAAGACAAAGGCUUCCAAGCUGGAGAGCAGCCCAGGUCAUAGAUGGAGAAUCAGGAUCCCAGGCAGGAGGAAGGGGUUGGCCCUUUGCUGCAGCCCAACGGCACUGUUGGCUUGGAACCUAGCUCAGAAUGAAAGUCUUCCUGGGAACUGGAUGCAUGCCUGGGAAGGAGGCCAUACUCCCUGCCCUUCCCCACUAGAGAAUCCCAGGUAGAGUCUCAUUCCUGCUUCCCUGGGCAUGUGCCUUCCUCUGCCUAGGUUGGCUAGAGAGAGCAGGAGGCUUCAAAGCCACACCCUCUGUGAGUAACCUUCCCCACCAAGACAGAUAACUAGCCCAGGGUAGGGUCCUCACCGGGACUCCUCGCUUUCUGCAGCAUCCUUGUGCCGUAGGCUCCGUCAAGUUUCUAGUCUAGCUGAAAAUGUAAAGGGAAUCCCUACUCACCCAGCCCUCUGUGGAGCCCCUGGUCUAGAGUCCCUUCUGGAGCCUAUGGUUUAGAGCCCCUGGCCUUGCAGUUAUCUGGCAUUGACUGGAUACAGUGUAAUUAUGUUCAGGAAUUAAUUCAUUAACCAAACUCAGGAGCCUUCAUCCAUUAAGUGGGAAUUGCUCAGCCCUUUGGGGACAAGAGAGGCAGCAGAGGCAGAACAACAAUGUUCCCCAAGUAAGAAGCUACUGGCUACAGUGCUGGCGGUAGCAGCAGCUCUGCCUUCUUGCCCUGUUUCCUUGAACAAGGAAGUCUGAGGUCUCAGCAGCAGCAUUAGCGAAGGCAUCCUGUGCAGACUACAUCUCCUCUUUGGUGAUACCAAGAGCCUGGUCAAGCCAGGUCUGGGUUCCUGCUAACCAGUUCUGUCCUCUGGCUUAAGUACGUGAGUUCUUGCUGCUGUGGAUGCUGUAGCUCAUUACCAUGGUGGAAGUGGAGAUUUUAGUUCUCCAGGAUACUCCCUGAUUCCAGUUAACCCCAACCAACACUUAAGGCAUCAGAAGCAAGCAGACAUCACCGAGGUCACUUAGAGGCCAAACUCUGAUUUCCAUGUCCCUUCAGCUUCCUGCUUCCUCGGUCUGGCCUGCUGUUCUUCCCUUGGCUUUCUCCUAAAAUAAGGCUUGUGAUGGUUUUCCCCGGUGGCCAAGAACCUACAGGAUCAUUUUCUCAGCGCCAAUCCCUGGAGGUUGCAACCCCAGAACUUCCAUGUUGUUGGCAUGAUAGGCUAGAGAAAGGUGUUCUGUGGGUUCAGCCAGAACCGGAGCGAACCCCUCCCCGAUCCUGGGCACUAGGUCCCACCCUUCUUCCUUCCAUGUUAUAUCACAGACGACAGUCAGAUGGUGUUUGAGCUAGUUACAGAAACCAAAGUGGAGCACUGUGCUGAACGCUACGAUGGAUCCUGCUCUGAGGGGAAAUGGCUAUCCACACAGAGUGGAGACGGACGGAUGAUCACAAGUGGUAGUGAGGAAGUGGAGAAGCUGGGCCCUAGAGACAUCCGCAGCUCUUUGAAAAGGUGCUCUGUGGAGUUGUCACGUGACCCAGAAUUUCUACUCCUAGGAAUAGACCCAAGAGAAUCAGAAACCCAGAGCCACACCAGACCUCAGCACGGUGUGUUAUCACCUUAGUGAGUGGCUGUGUAUAGAACAGUGUGCCCAUGAUGUAGUCUGUUAUUCAGCUGUGAAAGAAUGGAGGAUUGACCCUUCUGGGGAGACAUGGUGCUGGUUGGUUUUAUCACCUUGACAUAAACUUAGACAUAAUCUGGGAAGAAGAAAGAAAGGUCAGUUGAGGAUUUAUCUCCAUCAUAUUGGCUUUGGUCAUGUCAGUGGGGAAUUUUCUUGAUUGAUGAUUGAUGUGAGAGAGUCAGCCCAUUUGGGGCGGAACCAUCCCUGGGAAGAUAUCUGGUCCUGAGCGGUAUUAGAAAGCAGACUGAGAAAGCCAUGACUGGUAAGCAAGUCAGUAAGUGGCAUUCCUCUACGGCCCCUGCUUUAGUUCCUGCCUCCAGGUUCCUGCCUUGACUUCCUAUCCCGACUUCCCAUGAUAAUGGACUACAAACCCUUUCCUCCCAGAGUUGUUUUGAUCAUGGUGUUUAGCCCAGCAAUAGAAAACAAGGUAGCACAGAUUUGGACAAAUCUGUUCACCCCAGAUAAGGUGCUGACCACAGACGAAAGAAGAGGAGUGACCUAUCACGUGCGCGCGUGCGUGUGCGUGUAUAUGUGUGUGUGUGUGUGUGUGUGUGUGUGAGGAACACAAAUGGCUUAAAGGAGGUUGCAUCAUUGAAAAGCCCACCCCAGCAUGGAUGAUGCCUCGCAGAGCUCUCUACACACUUGUAGGCAGCUCCACUGAAGAACUCCCACCCCUAGGGAGGGUUUGGUAUUUACACCGUCUUGGUGAGGGACCUUUGAUAUUCCUAAGCUUCUGAACUUCGUGAGCCUUCUGAGUUUCUUUGGCUUCCUGAAUCUUGCAAGCCUCUUCCUCCCACUGAGAGGGAAUGUUUCUGUCAGGAUGAAACUGCUGUCCAGCAGAAGGCCCCAGGGAGCAUGCUGGUUCCUGGUGUCUCUCCACUUUGUGAAGAAGCCAGAGUAUGCAGUACCACAUACGUGACAAGCCCGGAGCAGGUGAACCCCAUGUAGGUGGGCAGUAGGUUGGUGGCGUCUGAACCUGGUGAGGGAGAAAUGGGAUGGAGCUGGCUUUGUCUGUGUUUGGGUGAUGUAUUAAUUAUUCUUGUGUUGCUGUGAUCAAAAACACUUGAUGGGGCCGGAGAGAUGGCUCAGUGGUUAAGAGCACUGGCUGCUCUUCCAGAGGACCUGGGUUCAAUUCCUAGUACCCUCCUAGGAGCUCACAAUUGUCUGUAACUCCAGUUCCAGGGGAUCUGACACCCUCAGACAUUCAUACAUUCAGGCAAAAUAUCAAUGUAC